rnacentral:lncRNA from 1 species
GAAGACUCCAGAAGCCACGGGAAGGAAGCGGAGACCGAACGGAGUCAGGGACAGGGCGCCCGCCCAAGUCCUUAGGGCGCCCGCCCACCUUUUUCGGCCAAUCACGCUCAAUCUCGCGGAUUAUGCUCCACCGACCUAAAAGAUCAAGAAUAACCGUUCAAUCAAUGUCGGUUUGAUCCGACGGCCCAGGUUCACUUGAGGGGACUAUAAAACCAGACCCCCUGGCCCCUGGAGGAGGCACCCCCUUGAUCAUUAUUCAUUAUUCAUUAUUCAUAGACAGAGCAAAAGCUAGGGUUUAGAGAUGAGAGCUCUCCUCUCUUCUCUAAACUAGAGUAGAUCUAGAUAGUAGCGAGAUGGAGAGCGAAGGUGGAUUAGAGGAGAGGCCGGCCUGUCGGUUCUUCCUCCGGUUGUACUUCGCCAUGAUCAAGCUCUAAUCAAGCUUGCUCAUGGGAUGACUCUGGUAAUCUACUUCUAAUUCAUUAUGCAAUUACUAAUCAUGUAUGUUCUGGUUCACAACUCUUUUGAGUACUUCUAAUCUAUAGGACCCUAUAGGUUAGAGUUGUAGUAUAGGUGUAAGCGUGGUGCUUAGACCUAGAUUACUUGUGGAUAUCCCCUGACUAGCUGGAUCGUGUGGUAGGCCGCGUAGGUGACAGUUACGUUGGUCCCCUGUAGUCCACCUCUCGUUAGCAGGACGGGUAGUGUUUAUCGGCCUAUGGAUAAGCAUUCUUUGUGGUGUACUCUUAUCACGUGGUUCGUCCCAGACAUAGACAUACCCCUUUGAAGUAGAGAAAUCAUAGUUAUCCUCUCUAUUCUGCUACCAUCGCCCAUAUACUAGAAUUGCUCUACUCUCUAUUCCCAUAUUAUCACUCACUGUUAUCUUACCUUUAAUAUUGUUCUUAUUCGAUUCUACCAUCUUUCCUAUUCACACCUAUUUACUUAUCUUGGUUAAGUUAGAGCAUAGAUCAGUUCUCCCGUUUCCCUGUGGAUACGAUAAAACCUUUAACCGGGUAAAAGCUUCAACAGUAUCCGUGCGCUUUGCGGAUUAUCUGUGUGCGUAUAAAUACCAUAGUACACUCUAGUGCCACGCUGGGAAUGACAACCUAGUAUUCAAGUGGUGUUAGCAAGUGUCAACAAGCAUUUUUGGCGCCGUUGCCGGGGAAACGGUUGCUGAGUUGACUACGAACUAGUUUAAUCAUUUUAUAAAAUAAUAAUAAUAAUAAUAAUAAUAAUAAUAUUUUCCUUUUAUCCUUUGCCUCAUCUCUGUUAUUCUUUCUUCUUAUCUAAUCCUUGAUCUCUGUCUAUUAUGAAUUCAAACAUGUCUAUCUAUGAAUUUCAUAGACCUAUGGGCACACAUCUCGAACCACCAAAAUCUUCAAAGCCUAUCAUAGCAUCUAGUUUUGAGAUAGACCCCGAAUACAUAGAAUUUAUUCAAAAACAAUCUUUCUCAGGAGAAGGUGAGAAAAACCCAUACACACACCUAAGAGAGUUUUAUCGAGUAUGUGACCUCCUUCGCAUAGAAGGCAUGUCCGAUGAGACCCUUAAAUGGAAGCUCUUUCCGUUCUCUUUAACGGAAAAAGCUAGACAUUGGUAUAAACUCAAAGUAGAGAGUGUUCAUGGAGAUUGGAAGGAGUUAUAUAGUAGUUUUCUUUCUAAAUAUUUUCCAAUCUCCAAAGUGGUGGAACUUCGGCGUGAGAUUCUUUCUUUUAGACAACUGGAAGAAGAAUCUCUUGGCAAAUCAUGGGACCGCUUUAUUAACCUUACUCUCACUGGUCCAAAACUUUCUAUUCCAGAAGAAGUUCUUCUAAUUCACUUUUUUGAGGGCCUUAGUAGGAAAAAUAGGCAAACCCUUCAUGCAGCCUCUGGAGGAUCUUUCCACCACCUAUCCGCUAGUGAAGCUUGGAAUUUGAUUGAUUUAAUGAGCGGAAAGUCUCCUAGCUUUUAUAUCUCUGAGAAAGAGAAAGAACCAGUUCCUAGACAAGAAGAAGUUUCGAUAGCCAGAUCACAACCACUUCAAUCCCAAACUUUAGCUAUCGAUCCUAAACCAUCAAUACCCCAAAAUUCUCCAAGGGAGGAAGGAAUUCCGACCUUAAAUCUUUUAGAUGCUGAUGGUUUAGACUUCUGGUUCUAUAAGAGACCUUCAAGCAGGGAUAAUUCAAAUCAUUGCAAUAAUGUUUCUCUUAGAGAAUGUCCUGGUUCCUAUCAUGAAGAAGUCGAGGAUGACAUAUCAAGUGAAGGAGAGCUAAGCCAUAUAGACAAUUCUAUCUACUCCCCUUCCAUGUUCACAAGUUCUAAAUCCAUCCUUGACCUUAGAGAUCCCUCUUAUCCCUCUUCUUUUCAGUCUCAUGAUGAUCCUAGCAAUUCACCAAGACGACCAAACCAUAGGAGUCAUGAAGACCAUAAGGAUGGCAUGUCAAGUAAUGCCAUAGAAGGAGAGCUAAGCCAUAUAGAAAAUUCUAACACCUCCCCUAUUUUGAUCACAAGUUCUAAAUGGCUAGAAUGUGUAGAAUGGAUGGAUAAGGAAGAAGCCUUAAUGGGUUCUGACUUUGGCUCAAUUUCAAAUGGUGAGUUCUUGACUCCCUUUGAAGAUGAGAUUCAUCCAACUACAGAAGAGGACAUAGGUGAGACCAAUCCAGGAGAAACUCCGAACAUUCAGAUUGGAGACGAAGAUAGCAUUAAUGAGCACGGAAUUUAUUUCAUAGCCACUUCGUUUACUCCAUGCUCAUAUGCAACAUCUUCCCAAUCUAUUGGUCUCUCCGACAUUACCACACUUGAGAUCUCCAACCCCCUCUUCCUUUCUAUUUAUAAAAACUUUAAAAGGGCGGUUGUCGAUGCAUAUGUCUAUAAUAAAUAUUGCAGAUCUCGUUGAGUUGAUCUAGAUAUAGGUUGGCGUCGGAGGGGAAACCACUUCGCCAACAUAAACUGAUGGUUUCCCAAGGACAAGCUUAGUGUCUUAAAAUAAGCAUUGAUCAGAUCGUAACAUGAGCCUUUAAUUAUUUGCAACAUUACCUUGUGUAUUGAGCAUAUAAGGAUAAUUGUAAAAAAAAAUAUAUUCCUUCGGGUAUUCUUGUCACUAACCUUUCUAAGAUUGGAGCAAGAAGAUCGGAUGAAUGACAAGCACAAGGUAUGUCCAACCAAUCAUCAUACAACAUUGAAUUAAAUUCAUCCAAACUUGAAUUUUGUAAAAUUCAAGCUUGGGGGAGUACUUUACAUAAAAACAUCCUUUGCCAUGUUGCUAUGCUGGUUGUCCCUACCUUUGAGACAUGCUCAAUUUGUUAAAUACUAAUCACACUACUUCAUCUCCACUUGAGUAGAUCUCUAUAAAUACUGUCAUGCUACCUUUGUCUAUUUACUAGCAAGUGUUGGUUGGAAGUACUCACCAUACUUCUAUUGGCAUUUAAAUUAAGCAUGGUGCUUAGGUUAAAUAGCCUUCCUUAAUCUGAUUAGACAUGGAGUCUAGUUUGGUUAUUGAACUAAAAAAACUGCUUGAGUAGAUAUUGGUAUAUUUUGUCGGACUAACCCCUGCAGAAAAACUUUCAAUAUCGAUUUGGGAAGUCCUGAGAUAAACUCACAUCAGAGACGAAGAGAGUGACACAUGAAGUUUAACAAUUUGCACAAGAAGGACAUAGCUCAUUCAUCAUAGAGAGAUGAUCCAUGGAGGGUGCCACAAACACGAUGCACAACCGCUAAGAAAGGAAAGCUUCCACAAGAUGAUACUGUACCAUCACUCUUCAAGCAAGGUAACAUUUUAAGGUACUUGACUAUCUCUUUUAUAAGCUUCUCCUUGGUUCUGGCGUUCAUAUAAAUAAAAGAGACAAACGUGUAUGAUUUACAACUCUAGAUUAACCAACCCAACUGAUUCAACAUGUUUAGUCCUUUAAUCCUUGUUCUUAGUACUACCUCUAUGAUCCCACACUCCUAAUCAUAUGAGCUAAAAUGUUACACAUUCAAUCAUUGAGAGAUAUAAAGAAAAAGACAUAUACAUAGAUAGAUUAUCUUUCCAUAAGGUUGAGCGAUCUGAUCUGACAAAUGUUAUAAGUGCUACACUCAUGAACUUAUCAUCCAUCAACUUGUCUUGCUCACUAUGCUUAAGGUUAGAGAAGAACAAAUACUCUUUUGGUUCUGUUGGUGUUUUCCACCAACAGGGCCCAUGCACUUGAUCUCUCCCUUGUCUCUAUGAGCAGGUACACUACCAGCACAAACACACUGAGCAAGAUACUACUAACACCGCACUUCGAACUGCUGGGCAAACGAAGAACAUGGGUGACACCGUAUUAAAAGGUGCAGACGUCAAGGUCCGCACCAGAAUCAAAUGACGCACCUGAAGAAUGAACACGGUGAGAAGUCUUGUCAAGAAGACUUAAAACAUUGAACCCUCGCCGAAAGGUAAGAUUGGUAGUUAUCCAUAUUUAUCCUUUCUGCAUUCCCUUUUCUCUUUAAUUAUUUACUUUCCUUAAAUAGAUUAUUAGUUAAUCAUGCUAUCUUGAAAAGAAAAAUAAAAAUGUUAAAAAAUACUAUCUUGAAAAGAAAAUAAAAAUGUUAAAAAAUACUAAGCCCCAUGUGGCAUAAAACCCAUAAGUACCUUCACUGUGGUGGCAUAAAAAUAAAAUAAAUAUUUCUUUUCUACUUUAUAAAAUAAAAAUAUAAAAACAGGGAGUAAUAUUUAUUAAGGAAGCUCAACGUGAUGAAGGCUAGAUAUUUAUGCUAACACUUAAUUAGUUCCACAAGCUUUGUUGUCUAUUUGAGCUCCACAGAAUUUAAGAAUCAAGAAGACUAGCAGACGGAGGACAUUCUAAUCGCUGUCAGAAUGCUGCUGACUUUCAAAUACACCUCUGCCACCUGCUAGCUACAUCAAGAGAAAUUACGUCAAAAUUCAGCUUGGGGGAGAGCACCCCCAUUUAUCUCGCUAAGUAUUUCUAUCUAUCUUUAUACUUAUAUUAUAUUAGAAUAUUAAAAUACAUAAACUAUGAAAAAACCAAAUAAAGAUUUUGUGCUUAUAUAUAUAUAUAUAUAUCUUUUGCUUAGUGUGUUUAAUAAAUAAAUAAAUAAAGUGGCUAUGCUAAUCUGAAUCUUAAUAAUAAAACUCUAACAUGGAUAUAAUGAAUAGUUGCUCUGCCUAAUUUGCAAAUUUGAAGUUCUCUCUCAAGUUUAGACAUAACUGUUAUAAUUUAAAGCUUGCUCUAGAUCUAAACUUGUGGGAUGAAAACUUGAUCUGAAAUCUAAGUUGUUAACGGAUAUGAUAUGGGAAGGUUGAGCUGCUGUUUAUCUAUUCCUAGAGAUGCUAGAAUUCUGGAGAAUUUUAUCUUUGAGAAAUCUAUAAAAUAUUGCAUGAUGAGUUCCUGUAUGAUGAGAGUUUAAAUUCCUACCACAGCCAUAUAUACAUGCUUGCUAGACUUUGAGCCACACAUUUAUUAUUUACUGCUUAUGAGCAUUGAGUGUGGUCAAGCUGUGUAGACCCUUAGGAGCUUGUCAUGUGGUUAAAUCAAUAUUCACUUGCACGUUCACUCAUAUAUAUGCUACUUCUACUCCGGAAGUACCAUCCACAUAUAUCCAUCCAUUUCCAUCUCCAGAAUCACCUAAAAAUAUUCUACUCCUAAUUCGGGAGAGAAUAGCCAAAAACAUCUGUGUUUUUCCCUUGUGAAAUAAAUGCUCAAGUUAUCUUGCUACUACCACUUGCUAUAUUAUCUCAAGAGAUGAGUGCUCUGAAAAAAAAAGAAGAAAAAAAAAGAAAAGAAAAAAAAUAAACGAGGAAAUAAAAAGGGGCAAGUGCCCGGAGCCUCGAAAGAAAAGAAAAAGAGUGAGACGAGAGGUAAAAAUGGACAAGUGUCCGACAGUAGAAUUAGGGGUACAGGAGACUUAGGGUUUCUGAGAGAAUCAUACAAGGAAUUUCUAAGUUUUAUUUGAAAAUCUGAAAAAACUCCAGAGCUAUAGCUGAUCAAGAAUAAGAGACAUGGCACUUGGCUAGACUGUUCUAUCUUUUAACUACUCAAGACAGAAGUGACGGUUACAAGUCCCAUGGCGAAAGGUAAAGUAAGUAAGUUUUAGUUCUUUACAGUUUACUCUAACUCAGAGAUGAGAACUUAUUUAAAAAGCAUGUGUACCGUCAAAUUUUUAAGAUAUUGCAACAACUUCUGAUCCAUUGCUGAGUCUAUUCUUGCUCAGGGACGAGCAAGAGGUAAGCUUGGGGGAGUUUGUUGACGGUCCUUAAGUAUCAAAUUUUACUAUCAAAUAAACAAAGAAAAGGAUCCAAAUGAAAUCAACAUCGAGACUUAGGGUUUUAUCUGACAGAAUUCCACGAGUUUUGGUGUUUGUCUAUUUCUGCAGGGGGUUAUCAGGAAAUAAGGAAAAAAAGCCCACACAUCGGGAUUACAUAGAGAUAUCAACGUGCCGCGCAAUUAUCUUACAUCUAGAAGACUCCAGAAGCCACGGGAAGGAAGCGGAGACCGAACGGAGUUAGGGACAGGGCGCCCGCCCAAGUCCUUAGGGCGCCCGCCCACCUUUUUCGGCCAAUCACGCUCAAUCUCGCGGAUUAUGCUCCACCGACCUAAAAGAUCAAGAAUAACCGUUCAAUCAAUGUCGGUUUGAUCCGACGGCCCAGGUUCACUUGAGGGGACUAUAAAACCAGACCCCCUGGCCCCUGGAGGAGGCACCCCCUUGAUCAUUAUUCAUUAUUCAUAGACAGAGCAAAAGCUAGGGUUUAGAGAUGAGAGCUCUCCUCUCUUCUCUAAACUAGAGUAGAUCUAGAUAGUAGCGAGAUGGAGAGCGAAGGUGGAUUAGAGGAGAGGCCGGCCUGUCGGUUCUUCCUCCGGUUGUACUUCGCCAUGAUCAAGCUCUAAUCAAGCUUGCUCAUGGGAUGACUCUGGUAAUCUACUUCUAAUUCAUUAUGCAAUUACUAAUCAUGUAUGUUCUGGUUCACAACUCUUUUGAGUACUUCUAAUCUAUAGGACCCUAUAGGUUAGAGUUGUAGUAUAGGUGUAAGCGUGGUGCUUAGACCUAGAUUACUUGUGGAUAUCCCCUGACUAGCU